AAAAAAACAACAAAAAUACAAGGUUUAGUCAGCUGCUGUUACAAACUGUUUAGGAUGAUUAAAUAAUGGAAGUCAGUAGUCAAUCAAACGCAUAGGUUAGAUAUUAGUCUGGAUUAUCACAGAAAUAUACAUCCUGGGUUGUACAGAUCAUAGGUAGCUGGAGACAGGCAAUGUUUGCUUGUUCAGAUAUGCUAUGAGUAGACAGAUGAUCUUCAAAGGUGUCAGAGAUCCACAGACCAUGGAAUUUAAAGUUACUUUAUUAUUAAAAGAUCUAUAAGACAGAUUGGCUCCUGACAGUACCCCUGUUCCACUUCAGAAAAGAUGAUGAGAAUCAAUAACCUCCAAGUGGAGUUGCUUCAAUUGAUAGCCACUGGGCAAGAACUGCCCUAACCUCAUCUGCAGACAGAAUGCUGUCCAAACAGCCAGACAAACAGAUGCAGGAUAGUUGGCUGCUGAGCUCUGCCAAGACAAGACUUGGAUCGGCUCCACUCCACACACUGGCCACUGUCAUGGUCCUUCCACAGUCCUGGGUCCUCUCAUCCCCUGGAAUCUUCACGGCAACUGAGGCUUCACUGACAGCAAUGGCCUCCCGGCUGACCUGCAGAGACUCCACUCCUGCUGUAUGGUGUCGAGCGCCUGGACAGUUCUCCUUCAGUCCUGUGGGUCUCACUGUAACCGAGCAUACGUCUUCACCUAUGGCUUCCUGGCCUCUCUGCCAACCGUACCAAGCCUGACUGCUCGCCAUGACAUCCUCAUGUCUUCAAAAACAGCACAUGUGGAAGACUGUUCUCUGAGUUUGGCUGUCAUCUUUUUAAAAAAAAAAUUUAUUUAUUUAUUUAUUGCAUAUGAGCACACCACUAUUGCUCUCUUCAGACACACCAGAAGUGAGCACCAGACCCACUACAGACGGUUGUGAGCCACUGCUGGGAAUUGAACUCAGGACCUCUGGAAGAGCAGUAAGUACUCUUAACUGCUGAGCCAUCUCUCCAGCACUGGCCGUCAUCUUGAGAUGUGGACUUGGCCCCUUCUGGACAGCUUCUGUGGUUGAUUCUGAGAAAGCACUUCCCAGAAGAUUUCACUUCAGUGGUGCCGGUCUCUUCCUAACCAUUGCUGAUUUCGUGGCUCCAGCUGACCAGCACUGAUUGUGCCAGUGAAGUAAGGGUUUCAUUUCCGCAGAUGCCUCAUUCAGACAUACCAUAGGUGUGACCCCAGUGACCCCAGCAGUCUCCGAGAGACUCCCAGCUUUCCUGAUCAUAAGCCAGGCCUCCACUGCCCGAGUAGCUCUAGUGGUUCUUCCAGACAGCCACAGCUCACCAAACCAGAGCGCUCGGUGUUGAGUUCGAACCUCCAAAAUCUUCCCAGGUCUCUCCGAGCCACAUGGGCAAGUCCAUCACAGCAACCCAGUGCUUGCUCCAGCUUGGCAUCUGUUGCCAUGAUAAAACACCAUGACCAAAAAGAAGGUUGGGCAAAAAAGGGUUUAUUUUACGUUAUACUUGCA
rnacentral:lncRNA from 1 species